rnacentral:rRNA from 1 species
GAUACCCUAUUAUUAGAAAUGUAAAUGUUUUCUUGUAUUACUAUUAGUUAAGGACUUUAAAAUUAAAGAAUUUGGCGGUAUUUUAGUCUGUUCAGAGGAACCUGUUUUGUAAUUGAUAGUCCACGAUUAUUAGUACUUUUACUUUUAAUUUACAUAUCGUCGUUUAAAAAAUUUUAUUAGAACUAUAAUUUUUAGAAGUCUGUAUUUGGAUUUAUUUCAGAUCAAGGUGUAGUUUAUGUAAUAGUAAGAAUGGGUUACAUUUAAAUUAUUAUUGGUUUGUUUAUUUAGAAUUUUGCAAUAAAUUGGAUUUGAGAGUAAAUUUAAUUAUCUAUAAAAGUUGAUUUAGCUCUAAAAUAUGCACACAUCGCC